UUGCUCGCUUUGCAGGACGUACACUAAAACUGGAAUGAAACCAAGUAGAUUAGCAUUGCCCCUGUGCAAGGAUGACACACACAUUUGGGAAGUGUUUCAUAUUUUU
ensembl:snRNA U6 U6 spliceosomal RNA